rnacentral:misc_RNA from 1 species
UGGAAAACAACCAUCCUUUUCCCCUGAUUAUGAUGACCUCCCCACUCUCGCAUCAGUCUGUGACGAGAGGUGAUCCAGUUCCUGUUUGCUCUUACUUCUCUUCAUCUUUGCUUUAACCCUUGAUUUCGCCAUAAGCGUCUGCACUGUAUUUAGAAAGUUCCCCACUGCCAUCACAACCAGUAACAGCCCACAAAAUAUCACCUGCCAUUCAGCGACAAAACCAACAACAGCUGUGCGUAGUAGCAGCAUCCCAACAUAUGCUUCAAA